UACGGAGGGGGCAAGCGUUAUUCAUCUUGACUGGGCGUAAAGGGUUUGUAGGUGGUUCUUUAUUUAAAAGAUAAGUAAUCUAAGCACAACUUUUGAAGUUAUUUUUUAAACGAAAGAACUAGAGACAUUUAGAAGUAAGUUGCAUUUUUAAAGUAGGGGUGAAAUUCUGGGAUAAUAGAAAGAUAGUCAAUUGGCGAAAGCUGCUUACUAGAGAUGGUCUGACAUUGAGGAACGAAAGCAUGGGGAUCAAACAGG
rnacentral:rRNA from 1 species